UACGUAGGGGGCAAGCGUUGUCCGGAAUCAUUGGGCGUAAAGAGCGUGUAGGCGGCCCGGUAAGUCCGCUGUAAAAGUCAAAGGCUCAACCUUUGAAUGUCAGUGGAUACUGCCGGGCUAGAGUCCGGAAGAGGCGAGUGGAACUCCUGGUGUAGCGGUGGAAUGCGCAGAUAUCAGGAAGAACACCCGUGGCGAAGGCGGUUCUCUGGGACGGUACUGACGCUGAGACGCGAAAGCGUGGGGAGCGAACAGG
rnacentral:rRNA from 1 species